rnacentral:rRNA from 1 species
ACGAACGCUGGCGGCGUGCCUAAUACAUGCAAGUCGAGCGGAAUGAUGAAGAAGCUUGCUUCUUCUGAUUUUAGCGGCGGACGGGUGAGUAACACGUGGGCAACCUACCUUGUAGAUUGGGAUAACUCCGGGAAACCGGGGCUAAUACCGAAUAAUCCAUUUUGCUUCAUGGCGAGAUGUUGAAAGACGGUUUCGGCUGUCACUACAAGAUGGGCCCGCGGCGCAUUAGCUAGUUGGUAGGGUAAUGGCCUACCAAGGCGACGAUGCGUAGCCGACCUGAGAGGGUGAUCGGCCACACUGGGAUUGAGACACGGCCCAGACUCCUACGGGAGGCAGCAGUAGGGAAUCUUCCACAAUGGACGAAAGUCUGAUGGAGCAACGCCGCGUGAGUGAAGAAGGUUUUCGGAUCGUAAAACUCUGUUGUAAGGGAAGAACACGUACGAGAGUAACUGCUCGUACCUUGACGGUACCUUAUUAGAAAGCCACGGCUAACUACGUG